AUUGAACGCUGGCGGCAUGCUUUACACAUGCAAGUCGGACGAGUGGCGAACGGGUGAGUAAUAUAUUGGAACGUACCGAGUAAUGGGGGAUAACCAAUCGAAAGAUUGGCUAAUACCGCAUACUAUUCGAGCGGCCAAUAUCUGAUUAGCUAGUUGGUGGGGUAAAGGCCUACCAAGGCGACGCUAAGUAGCUGGUCUGAGAGGAUGAUCCGCCAACCGGGGACUUAGACACGGCCCAGACUCCCACGGGAGGCAGCAGUGGGGAAUUUUGGACAAGGGGCGCAAGCCUGAUUCAGCCAGGCCGCGGUUAUGAAGAAGGCCUUCGGGUUGGAAAGGACUUUUGUUAGGGAAGCGUUACCUAAAGAAGAAGCACCGGCUAACUCCGUGCCAGCAGCCGCGGUAAUUC
rnacentral:rRNA from 1 species